CCCAGUGCUGGGCUCUGGGGACGUAUGGGUGAGUAAGGCCCCAUCCUGGAGAAGAGUGGGACAGACAAGACAUGGAACCAAACUCAGUCUGAUGCAGUGGUGGGUGCUCUUCUGGACACGGGCUCCAGGUGCCGCUAUUCCAUUUUUUGGACUCAACCUCUCCUCCUAAGUGGACCAUCACUAUUACUGACCAAAAAAGAGGCUGACAGAGGCUUUGCUUCUAAAUCUGCACAGUCACAAUUGAUAAACAAAACGAUCACCUGAGGUGCCUUGAGGAAAGGCUUAAUUCUGUGUGGUAGGCAAUGCUUCACGAGGCAGGCAGAAAAUUGGAAAACUGCAUUUUUAGAGAAGAAAAAUGUCAACAGGAAUUGGAGGAAAAGUAAGCAUUUUCUGGCUAAGUAUCAAUUAAACAAAAAAUUCAAUUUUCCAGAAGACACCUUUUCUUCAACCCCACAGUUAAUUGUGCUUUGCCAAGGUGCCCAGUGGAUGUUUGACGACUGCUAAUUAUUUAACUGGACCUCACCACACCCAGAGAUGCUGCUCAUGCCUAUAACAAAGACCAUUUGCUCUUUCCAGAAGCUUCCUGAAGAAGUGCCAAAGAACUAGAUCUGAAGUUUCAGAAACUUUAAUUUGAGGGCCAAAAGAAUACAUCCUGAUAUAGGAUAUUUUUUAAUUGUGAAUUCAUGUGUAGGGAAGGGCAGGAAUAUAAAGUCUAUGUCCAACACGUUGGACCGUUGUGAACCAAUGGUUUUCUAGUAUUUAAUCCCAAAAGCACAUCCCCAAAGAUGUGCUUCCUCUAAGCUCAUGGGUAAUGAUGGAUGUGCCUGGAAACGUGGGUGGGCUCCUGUGUACAGGCUGAGAUGGGGCAAGGUAGGAAAACUGCAGAAGAUACAGGUUUCCAUGUUUCAUCCUUAGGGCCAUUCUUGGGGGCUAGAGCAUCCCCCCCGCUCUUGCUGUUACAACCACUGUCUUUUUUUAUUGGUGAAGUAGAAUGCGCGAUGCUGAAUCCCAGAACAAAUGCUGUCACGCCCCCCACAGCGAUGUGCCUUCCACCUCAGCCGCUGUCGGAUACCCGCGGCCUCAUGGCCCAGGACGCCAAUCAUAUCCGUUUGCCACUUUGCGACAUUAGUGGCUGUAACGCUCCCACAUUUACUAGUCACGGGAAAACCACUGCCUGCUCGUCGGUGCCACAAUCGGCUGCUCCUUUUUUUAAGCUUAACUCCUUCUAUCCCAAGGCAAACACUCCAUGUACAGCCAUAGCCUUUGAGAUUUUACCCAAUUUGCAAGGUGUCCUUUUGCGGUAUUUCCUCAAAUUUUUGCAAUCAGGUUAACUCGGGCCAGUUCACAUUUGUCCCUGAGAGGGGUGGAACUUGCCCUGGAUGGACGUCCCUCUUUUUUUUAGGAGAAAACCAGAAAAUCUCAAAAGAACCCAGGAUGGCAAGGCGAGAAACGAAUUGAAACCCUGCCUGUCUGGUUAGUACCUAGUCACGUCGUAUACAAGUCAUUAUAAAUGAUUUAUUAAUUCGACAGACGUCGGUAGACAUUCAAUACAUAUUUGCUUAAUGAAUUGUCGAAUGCAUUAGCUACUUGUUAGGCAAUAACAACACUGUGGGACAUUACAGUGGAAGAACUAGACACAGUUUUGCCCCUCAAGGAGCCCGUUUGGUAGCAGGUGGGGCAGGCAAGUAGACAGGCAUCGUGAGAGUAAUUAACUUCGGAGAGGCCUCACUGUGUCCCAGGUACGGCAAAGCUGUCUUCAUGGAUUAUAUCAGUUCACCUCCACCGCGGCUUUAUGAAAGCAGUUCAGUUGCUGUCUCUUUUUUAUGGACAAGAAAGCCCAGGCCCAGAAACGUUCAGAAACUCAGCCCAAAUUGUACAGCUAGCAAGUGCUAAGGUCAGAAGUCAAUCCCGGGCAGUCUGACUCCGACCUCACACUUUAAACUGCUGUGCCACUGGGGCAGCCAUGGGCGAGCAGAGGAGUGGAUGGUUUGGGGAGGUAGAGAAUGUGGAGACUGGGUGAUUGGUUGGGAGGGCAAGGAAGAACCGACAACGAAGCCGGGCCUCGCAUGCUGAGCAGUGAGGAAGCUGGUGCCAUCUGCUGGACGAGCACCUUGGAGAGAAGAGGCAGGCUGAUGGAGAGAGUGUGGAUGAAUGACCACAGCAGUGUGGGACAUGUGGCUUUGAGGUGCCCGUCGGACAUUCAGAUGGAUUUCCAAGCAAGCUAUUGACAAGGCUUUGUUAACACCAGUGGGAGAGGUCCCGGCUAGAGACGGGGAGUUGGCUGUGGUUAGGAUAACGCUUUGUUCUUGCCACUGGAUCCUUCGAAGCUUUAGUACGAGGCUAGCAACUGUUUACAAAUGCUUUGGUUUUAUUCUUUAUGUUUGACUUGUUUUUAACUUUUAAGUCUAUGAUCGUGGUUGUUAUAUUCACCCCCUUUACCCUGCCCCCCAAAACAUAUAUCCAUGGAGAGAGUGAGAGAGAGAGAGGAGGGAUAUGGAUAUGCUUGAAAUGGAUAGAGGAGUUUCAAAGAUGAAACCCAAUUGGAACACAAUUACUGACCCCAAACACUCGCUGUCUCCUACAGAGGAGUAGAGAGAAGUGGCCAGUUUAUGCCCUGUCCCCUUCUCCUUGAUUAUUAACCCAUCACAUUGUACUUUAUUCAGGUCUCAGAGACUGUCUUAUGGCAAGUCUAGGAGUUCAUUUUAAGUCAUCCCAAGUGACCUGAACCUCUCUGUCCAAAGACGUGACCAAACAUCCCGAGAGACUGAUCUGAGCCGGAGGGCGUCGAUGGAAAUGUGAAUUUAGAUACCUCCCGGACACCCUUUGUGACCAGGAGCAGGCUGGCAGCGGGGAGGGUGGUGGAAUGCAGGGUGUUGGGGGGCUCCAGGGUGCGGUUUGCCACGGCUGUGCUUCAUCUGCCCCACGUCAGGCUUUCUUUCCUGUAGAUCCUGUGCCGUCUCCAAGGGCUAGGAUCUAAUUAGUUUGCAUUUGAUUUCUUUGCUGCCUAAUGAACUACCUCUGUAGUUCUGGCUGUGAUGUCAUUAGCAUCUCAUUGCCUUGGGCACCAACUCAGGAGAGAGAGUCUUAAGCAGUCCCCAAAUCCUACAGGAAUUGUACCAAUUUACUUCAUAACAACUAAUCCACCUCCAUGACCUGUCAGUUCCUACCAGCAGAGCUGACCCUGUAUGAGGAUGGGUCCCUCGCUUUUAUCAUCCUCGUAUGCUCCUGAGUCUAGGUGGGUCAGUAUGUACACGCCUAAGGCCAUGGGCACAUCCACAAUGAGAUUCGAAACAUUGAGGAUGCCAACAUUCUCAUUCCACAAUAUUCUAUUGAGGAAAUUCAUCCACUGGGUGCUGUAGGAUACAGAUUUAGCCUAAAGCAAAUGGCAUUUAUUUAUAGCAAACUGUAUUUGCAAAAUGCUUUGCAGUUUUGGGGUUGUUAACUACAUUCCAGGUUGGCUGUUCUUCUACUUAUAUGAAAGCUAAGUGUCAUGGCUGGACUCCAAAGCCUCCCUGAGAGCAAUUCGAUGAAUUCUGCAAACAGGGAUAAGAGGGGGCCACGCCCCUUCUGGGCACCUGGAUGCCCUUGAUCAGAAGGCACUUUUGCCAAUUAUAAUCUUUUAAGACCUUAAUUGUAGCUCCUUUCUUAUGUCCAGAGUCUCUGUAACUUGUUGAAAUCGCAUAUUCAUUUUAUUAAGAGACAACGUAGUGCCUCAAAGUACUAGAGAAUUUCCACCAGGGAUCUAGAGGGCAGAAGAGGCAAGAAGUACCUAAGGAAUGUAACCAGAGUGGGAGGUGGAGGGGAGAGCCAUUGAACAAUAAGGAAAUAGGGAGGGUCUCCUCUCUGUGACUCUCCGUGCACUCUCUCUACCUCCCACUCCAACACUGAGGGGGAGUUAAAAGCAAAUGUCAAAGAUCAGACUCCCCUAAAGCUUUUAGGAUUUGAACUACUCUCUCGCUUGCCACAGACAUGAUGUUAUAGGUGCUCUCUUUGGGCAAAGGGAGAUUUAUCUGGGCUUUCACCACCGGACUCCAUCAUUUUAAGGAGUAUUUCCCAAUUGUGCCUUUAACUGCACAUGGAAAAUGCAUUUCCUCUUUGAAAAAUCUCUCUCACACACACAUCUCUAUUCUUUGCUGGAGCCUGAAUGGAUGGCUUUGGGAGUUCGCUGCUCAUCACUUCUGUAUAAAUCCAGCUCCUCUCUAGACAGCUCCAUACUGCAUGACCAGGGGGCUAGAGGGUCCUUCACAGGGCCUGCUUUCUAUGAACCUGAAUAUUUUCAGGAGAAAGAAAAUAGGAUUCUGGAUCAAAACAAGAGUUUGGUGGUCUGCCACCAUCUUCUUUUGCAUCCUCCUUCCCACGCCUCUCUUCUCCCUAACCGUGCUCCUGCCCGGAUAUUGAAGGGGAUUCGUGGUAUCUUGAUUUUGCUUGGGACAGUCAGAAGACAGCCACCAGGGAAUAGCCUCUCAACUGGUUACAGCAAUUACAAGUCUUAAGGAUGGAGUGCUGGAGGGCUGGGAGGUGGUCACGCAGCGCCACUGUUUGGGGAUUCGGUGCCCUCUAGUGGCCACAUCUGGCUGUCAGAGCGGUGCACCCUAAGUGAUAAAUGGGCAGGCGUCCUACACCUGAAUGCGUGUGGAGUGUGUGGUGGGCAAGUGGGGGGCAGAGUUCCUGGAUAUUUGGGGAUUCAAGGCGAGAGGAAAGGAAUUUGGUGGCAUAUUAUCUCCACUUAGAAGUGUCACUCCAUGUGAAGGAUAUUGAGGGAGGAUUUUCAUUCUCCGUCUCUCAGAAUUACCUGUCUCUUGCUCUCUAUUGUUUCUCCUUAGGAUACAUUUUCUGGAAUUAGGCUACUCAUUAAAUUUUUUUCUUAUUCCACUGGGAAAAAAAAUGGCACUGUCACACACUUUUUUAAGUUGCCAGGUGUUACUUUUCCAAGUUUAUUUUCUGUAUAGUACCAGAGUGGCCACACAGAAUUCAUUGCAAGAUUUUUCCUCUCACAGAAGUCAUUUUACACUUGAUAUCGCCAUCUAGUGGUCAUUUCAUGGGACCUCUUUUCCCCGCCUCUGUUGAAUACACUCCACAAGGAGGGCUGUGGGUUGAGGAGAUGAAUCUGAUCGGAAGGGUCACGAGGGCCCUCCAGGAGACACUCGAGCUCCGUGGCAAGGUUUGUGCAGCAAAAAUUUUUAAAUUUUGUCUUGAAAAGACGCACUGUGUUUUCACUGAUUUUUUUUCUUUUUUUUUUUUUUUUUUUGGAGUUUCAUUCACUUCCCCAAUGAAUGAAGGCCUUUUUUUCUAGAAAUCGUAUCAAGAAUCCAAGACCUCAUUCACUUCUUCUCCCUGCCCAGUCUAUAUAGCCUGUUGAAGAAGACUGAGGCCUGGCCAGGGGCUGGGUGAGGAGAGUCCUUCCAGAUUGUGGUCAUUUUACAAAUACUCUCAGCCAUGGGACUGACUGAGUUGCAUAAGCCUGAAUGUCAAUCAGGAUUUACAUGUGGCUCAAGGGACCUUGGGGCUCGCUGGUGUGGGCUCCUGGGCCUCCCUAUUUGAUAACAUCAUUCUUGGUUUUGGUACGUGUAGUUAUGCAGUUUUUAUAAACUAGGAAAGGCUUCAGUUCCACUCUGGGUUUGUUAUUAAACAAAAAGCAAAUGUGAAAUGAAUUGUAUCCCGUGUUUGCAGUCACUGAGAGAAUCCUUUGUGUUAGUGAGCAGGGGGAAAGCCAUGUCAGUGGAGUCUCUGGAUGAAGAUGCCUCAUCCACAUAAUGAGGGUGUUCAUCUGGGAGACAACAGUGCUGAAAUGUCUCAUGACGUUUCCAAACAGGUUCAUAUUACAUAACAAACAAGAGACAGGCGAGCAAAGCACUCCCUGGACCCCACAAGAGAGAACCUUGUUAUCAAGUCAAUGGGUUGUAUCCCGGUCACCUUCUGGAACCUUCCAACCAUUUCCCCCAGAGAUCUGGCGCAUCGAGUACUGCAUUUCCCCCAGAUCAGGCCGAGAUGACCAGAAUGAAUGUUCUAGAUCUGCCCCUUGUUCCUAAAAUCUCUGUGGUCUGCAUGAAAUUAUCUCAUGUUCGGGACUGCAGUGGUGUCACAAAAGGCCAGGGGUGUAGAAAGGAACCCAAGGCAAAGGUAGACUUGGGUCAGCGGACCCUACUUCCAUCUUCCUCUGGAGUGAAGAGGUUAAAUGGGAAAUCAUGAAGGCUUGGAGGACAAAUAUCAAGCCAUGCUUUCUUCCAUAGGGAACAAAGUAUUAUGUUCGGGUAGGCAUUUCUCAUCUUUGACACCAAAAAUAAACCAAGAGUUUCUCUAGCUACCUUUUUUACUCAUCAAUCAAGGGCGAUGUGAACCUGUUUCUUUGGAGUGCUUUGGAACGCAGAUCUUUUUGAAAAAGCCAGAACUCCCUCCCCAUAUUCAAUACAUUGAUGGGUAAUGAAGCAGAGAAGUCCUCUUCUUCCCCCCAAUGACUCAAAGGCUUUGGAAUCUGGCAAAACUGGAUUCAAAUCCCAGCUCUGACCACCUACUACCCUUGUGUGAUCUUAAGGCUCUUGACCUCACUUUCCUCACCCAUAAAAUGGAUGCAAUGAUGGAAGUCCAUGCAGAGAGUUCUUGUAAGGGUUGAAGGAGGCCUGGACCGGAUCUCACUUCAUAGUUUAGGUAAAUCUUACCUGUGGUUAUAAUGAAGACUGUUAUGAUGGUGGUUGGCCAUGCACUAGCCACUGGGGUGUGUGCUUUAAAAACAUGUUGUCAUUUAUUCAUCACACAACGCUAGAGGUAGUACUAGGAAUAUCUUCAUUUAAUGGAUGAGGGAGCUGAGUCCCGGAAUAAUCACUGUUGCUACUGUUUGUAUUCCUGAUGAUAGUCCUAGAUCCUGCACAUGCAUUGAAGAUGCCUCCCUCUGAGGGGAUCGGUAGAGCUGAUGAUUCUCUGAAAGGAAACAACCUGAUCUCACAUUUAGAAGGCUGUUUCCAACUCUGUUGGUUACUGGGAGGUUGGGUUCCCCCUAUUCAAUGGGAGGUCAGAAUCACAUCUGUAACCUGCCAGUGACAUUUCGUGACCUCCCUACGAUUUGACUCCGGCACUCGGGCCACAAGAACAUGCAAGACCUUGCUCUUUGAUGAUCCUUGCUCACUGUUCCUUUUCGUU